AGAGGAUGUCUUAUCAUUAAAUUACCUGACUGCAUAGAUACAUUUUUGAAUAAAAAUAUUAAAAUACUUGAUAGGGUGAGCCAGCGUGCAUAAAUUACUUCCCACACAUAAGUCACGUACAAGUGGUCUGUCACAUGAAAGGCUGAUCUUUCGGAAUCUUAAUACGUUCUGAAUCACCUGUAUUUGAGAAAAAAAAAAUCGAG
rnacentral:misc_RNA from 1 species